UGGCUAGCAACCCUGUCUCAUGUGUAUAAAUAUUUUUGUAUCUGUAUUAAUUAGGUGAUGUUAUUAGUUUAAAUGAGGCAAAAUUGAGGUCCCAACAAUAUGAGAAUGAAGGAUUGGGUUGUUUUAUUUAUAAUGGGAUCAAAGAUAUUUAUGGUAAAUCUGUUUGCAUUGAUGCUACAAACCAACUAAGUUUCAUGGGAUGCAUGGUAAACGACUCACCUUCAAUAUAUGCUAAUGCAAAAAUGAAAAGAAUAUUUGAGUCUAAUCAUGUUAGUCUUUGUCUUUUCGCUACAAAAACAAUAGAUGUUGGCACUGAAUUAAGGCAUCAUGUUUACAGCCAUUAUGUUAUAACCAAGCUAAUUGUGUUGAAAUUGGAGCAAUAAAUAGGGAGGUAUAAUUUAAUUUAUAUUUUAUUUCAUUUACAUAAAAUAAAACAUUGUGUUAUGAUUUUAUUUAAAAACUCUUAACUACUUAACAUAAACAGGUUUCAUAAUAAAGGCUUUUUUUUGGACAUUAUUUUUU